ACGCUCGACACCUACGGGAGGCAGCAGUUGGGAAUAUUGGACAAUGGAGGAAACUCUGAUCCAGUGACGCCGCGUGAAGGAAGAAGGUCUUCGGUAUUGUAAACUUAUUUGUCAGGGAAGAAAAAUGACUGUACCUGAAGAAAAGCACCGGCUAACUACGUGCCAGUAGCCGCGGUAAUCUGAGCGGGCUGGCAAGGC
rnacentral:rRNA from 1 species